ensembl:lncRNA
GUAAGAGUUUAAAAAUGAGUAAGUUGAAUGAGAAUUUGAAGGGUCUCCCCAUUGAAAUACAUGGGAAAUUUUUGUUGAAUAAAGUUGAAUAAAAUUAAAAAUAUAAAUGUUAAAAAUGAGAAAAAUACAAGCAACAGUGUCCAAAAGAAUAGGAAUCUAAUGGUGUUUGAAUGGUUUUUCUAAGUUGAACGGUUUUGAAGGAGUAGGCUUUCAAAAAACGUACGGAAUAGAUAAAAUAUAAUAACUAGAAAGUGCAUUUUCUGAAGAAACUGCAGUGUGAAUGCUUGAAUCUGAAUGUAUGCACUGAAAUGAAUUAAUUGCUGAAUUUUGAUUAAAAAUAUUGAAUGAGAUAAAAAAAAACAACAAAAAAAAACGAAUUUAACCUGAAAACAAAGGUGCUGAACUGCUAAAAGCUGAAGGUUACACAGAAGAAGGAGUUGGAAAAAAACUGAAAAUGUUUUAAAUGUAAAUUAGAAAACCCUAAGAAAUGAGAAAAGAACAUUUAGAGUCAGAAAACAUCUGAAUGAAUAUUAAAAGGUCAUAUUCUUUGAAUCACUGAAUGACUCAAAUGUGAUCCCUCCACUUUGAUACACACAGUUUAAAAAGUUUAAAUGCCUGAGCUUUGAAAGAUACGGUGUUGGAAAGAGAACAAUAAUGGCGACAAUUUGAGGGUAAAAUGAUGGCUGUAACACUGUGGACACAGCAGCAGUUGAAAGAGAAGUGCUUAAGAUGAAUCUUGGUACAGUGGCAGGCAGAGCUCGUUAAGCAGGCAGGUGUGAGCCUGGUUGCUAUAGUGACCGCACCCAAUGGCUCCAUACACACGUACACAGACAUGCGCCUCACUUUUGCUGCUUAAAAUGAACAGAAAAGUCAGGCCGAAACAAAUCGUUCCCAAAUGAAAAGUAAAAGUCGUAUUGACAAAAUUCUUUCACCGUGAGCGACAGCAAUGUCUAGUCUACUGAAUUCUCAGUUUUCAUGCCUGUGGAGUUUAUUAUAUGGACGUGGUGACAGUGGAAAGACACCAUGCUCUUCUGAUUUUCAAACGAAC